UCUUCGAUGGUCUAGUGGUCAUGAUUUCCGCUUGUCAUCAGCAAUGUUGCGAGCGCGGGAGACCGGGGUUCGAUUCCCCGUCGGAGAG